GUGGAUAUUCCUUCAAUGUUUAUGUCAUUUAUGGUUAAACACAGAGGAAAUUCCAUGU
rnacentral:pre_miRNA from 1 species